GACUUGGAGAGGCUGAACCCUGGGGCACGUCUAUGAAGGAGAAAACAUGCAGCGUCCUUCUACCCUGUCAGGCCUGGAACUGUGAAUGGACCGAAGACCAGUGGGGCCUUCACCUAUUGGCCUGGACUCUUGGAAGCAAACUUGUUUUUCUGCAAUUCACCAGAAACUCUCAGGACGAGAAUAUCUCAGUCUUCCAAGGAUUGGCUUCAUUGA
ensembl:processed_transcript